AGGGCCAGCGGGGCAGGUGCGGGCGGUUGUGUGUGAGGGCUGAGGGUGCGGCCCCGCUGCUGCCCGGGCUGCGGAGGGGAGAGCGCCUUGGCCGCUGGUUGUGCCCUCCCUGGGGCUCAGCUCAGGUCCGUGCCCAGCGGCUGGUGGAGUGUGGCGAGUUGUGCUUCCUGCCGGGCGGGAGCUGCCUUGGGAAGCUGCUCUGUCCCCACGGCUGUGCCGAGCUGGGAGCUUGGACAGGGAAGGGCAGGGCCCGUCCUGCCGGUGAGAAUUGGGUUGGGCUGGGGGAGGAUGGAAUGGAGUGUGUGCCUGUUAACUCCACGGAGAGCCAAAAGCUGGGAGGGACCCUGAGCAGGUUUGGUGCCAUGAGAGCAGCUUCAAAAGACCUUGAGUGUUGGAGAAAUAUCCAGGAGAACUGGUUUCCUUUUUGCAAGGACAGGGGGGUUGCUGUGCUCUCUAGCAAAAAAAGGUUUCCUUGCUCUCUCAGCAGGAUGUCGAGUGCCACUGUGUCCCUGAGGUCACCCUUUCUCCCGCUGGGAGAGCACGAGGCAGAUGGAAAGGAUCCCCAGACAUCUACAGGAACAAGGAACUUGUAUGACUCCAGCUUGCCUACAGCAGUUGUAGGAUGGACUUUCAAAGUACCAUUGGGAACGUGCCAGCACUCUCCUACUGGAGUUUUUUUAUGCUGUAUUUGAACAGAAAGAGUAAAACUAAAGUCAGGUCUGUUCUGGAGUGUG